GGCAGCAGUGGGGAAUAUUGCACAAUGGGCGAAAGCCUGAUGCAGUGACGCCGCGUGGGGGAUGACGGCCUUCGGGUUGUAAACCUCCUUCAGCAAGGAAGAAGCGAAAGUGACGGUACUUGCAGAAGAAGCGCCGGCUAACUACGUGCCAGCAGCCGCGGUAAUACGUAGGGCGCAAGCGUUGUCCGGAAUUAUUGGGCGUAAAGGGCUUGUAGGUGGCUUGUCGCGUCUGCCGUGAAAACUCGAGGCUUAACCUUGGGCGUGCGGUGGGUACGGGCAGGCUAGAGUGCGGUAGGGGAGACUGGAAUUCCUGGUGUAGCGGUGAAAUGCGCAGAUAUCAGGAGGAACACCGAUGGCGAAGGCAGGUCUCUGGGCCGUUACUGACACUGAGAAGCGAAAGCAUGGGGAGCGAACAGGAUUAGAUACCCUGGUAGUCCAUGCCGUAAACGUUGGGCACUAGGUGUGGGGAGCAUUCCACGUUUUCCGCGCCGUAGCUAACGCAUUAAGUGCCCCGCCUGGGGAGUACGGCCGCAAGGCUAAAACUCAAAUGAAUUGACGG
rnacentral:rRNA from 1 species